GUUAAUCUAGUUUAAAAAAUAUUAACUUGUCGAGUUAAAGAUGCAUAUUAAUGCGAUUAAUU
rnacentral:tRNA from 1 species